UCCUACGGGGCGCAGCAGUGGGGAAUAUUGCACAAUGGGGGAAACCCUGAUGCAGCAACGCCGCGUGAGUGAAGAAGUAUUUCGGUAUGUAAAGCUCUAUCAGCAGGGAAGAAGAAAGACGGUACCUGACUAAGAAGCCCCGGCUAACUACGUGCCAGCAGCCGCGGUAAUACGUAGGGGGCAAGCGUUAUCCGGAUUUACUGGGUGAAAAGGGAGCGUAGACGGCAUAGCAAGUCUGAAGUGAAAGCCCGUGGCUCAACCGCGGAACUGCUUUGGAAACUGUUAAGUGGGG
rnacentral:rRNA from 1 species